GAGGAUUUAGUUUAAGAAAAACAUGAAUUAGUCAAGUUCAAAUUACCUUAAAAAGUAAUUCUCU
rnacentral:tRNA from 1 species